GUAGCAAUACAGGAGUGGCGCACGGGUGAGUAACGCGUGGGAACCUGCCCUGGAGUGGGGGAUAACCGAGGGAAACUUCGGCUAAUACCGCAUACGUCCUGAGGGAGAAAGAUUUAUCGCUCUAGGAGGGGCCCGCGUCGGAUUAGCUAGUUGGUGGGGUAACGGCCUACCAAGGCAACGAUCCGUAGCUGGUCUGAGAGGAUGAUCAGCCACACUGGGACUGAGACACGGUCCAGACUCCUACGGGAGGCAGCAGUGGGGAAUUUUGCGCAAUGGGGGAAACCCUGACGCAGCAACGCCGCGUGGAGGAUGAAGCCCCUUGGG
rnacentral:rRNA from 1 species